GCCGAAAUGGUCAAAUCGGUUAAGGCGUCGCCCCGGACAGGCGAAAGUUGCGGGUUCAACCCCCGCUCCUGGCC
rfam:Ixodes scapularis strain Wikel colony gcontig_1107729181766, whole genome shotgun sequence.